GACACUCUAGCACAGCACGAUUAAGAGUUCUGCCCAAGGAUGCAAUGAAUUCCCAGAACUAGAACCAAAUCAAGGAACCUGCGUCAUAACUAGAAAGAAGGUCACAGACUGAGCACCUUGGGAGCAGCUCACCAUUGGUUAAAACAUAACCCUAGGAAAGCUGAAAUCUGAGUGACAGGCUUAAUGGCUUAAAAAUUAUCACAGGAGUAAAACAUUUAACACCAAACUAUGGGCAGGAAAAGAACAGAAUGCUCUAAAAUAUUCAGAGUGAAUACACAUAAAUAUUUAUUUCCAAUACUUAACAGUGUAAAGUCCACAGCACGUCAUUAAUUCUGGUUAAUACAACUAUAUUAGAAACUGAGAAACAAUAUGGCAUGGAGGUUAAGAUACCCGAGAGCUCCAGUCCUUCAGACAGGGUUGGAAUUCCAGCUCAACCACAGAUCAGCAAUGUGAAACCUUUAGGAAGUUACUGCAUUUCUUUGUGCUUUGAAUACUCCAUCUGUAGAACGGGUAAUCGCGUAAGGAGAAAAGGGGUACAAGAGGUUUCUACGGCUGGGCUAAGGCGCUGGUGGCUUCUGGUAGCUAUAAAACCACGAACGUUAGGUAAGGAUUAGAGAAGAAACCCAGAGUGGCUGUGAGUCAAGAAAAGACAUCAGAUAACAGCAAUUAUUUUACCAUUAUGUGACAUGUAAUACUAAUGUUCCUACCUGAAGAUAAAGAGCACAAUUUUAAAA